CUGAUUCGUUAGGGGUGCCGCGCCGUCGUUGCGCUGCUGAGACAGUCCCUUGGAACCUGUGCGGGUCAUGCCGUCGUAGGGAAGCGGAGUGCAGCAGCU
rnacentral:ncRNA from 2 species